ACGCACGCUGGCGGCGUGCUUAACACAUGCAAGUCGCACGGAAAGGCCCUGCUUUUGUGGGGUGCUCGAGUGGCGAACGGGUGAGUAACACGUGAGUAACCUGCCCUUGACUUUGGGAUAACUUCAGGAAACUGGGGCUAAUACCGGAUAGGAGCUCCUGCUGCAUGGGGGGGGUUGGAAAGUUUCGGCGGUUGGGGAUGGACUCGCGGCUUAUCAGCUUGUUGGUGGGGUAGUGGCUUACCAAGGCUUUGACGGGUAGCCGGCCUGAGAGGGUGACCGGCCACAUUGGGACUGAGAUACGGCCCAGACUCCUACGGGAGGCAGCAGUGGGGAAUAUUGCACAAUGGGCGGAAGCCUGAUGCAGCAACGCCGCGUGCGGGAUGACGGCCUUCGGGUUGUAAACCGCUUUCGCCUGUGACGAAGCGUGAGUGACGGUAAUGGGUAAAGAAGCACCGGCUAACUACGUG
rnacentral:rRNA from 1 species